rnacentral:tRNA from 1 species
GUGUCUGUGGUGUAAUGGUAUGCACGUCUGCCUGUGAAGCAGAAGGAGAACGGUUCAAUUCCGACCUGACACC